CCGGGGGGGGGGUGCCUAUACAUGCAAGUAGAACGCUGAAGAGAGGAGCUUGCUCUUCUUGGAUGAGUUGCGAACGGGUGAGUAACGCGUAGGUAACCUGCCUUGUAGCGGGGGAUAACUAUUGGAAACGAUAGCUAAUACCGCAUAACAAUGGAUGACCCAUGUCAUUUAUUUGAAAGGGGCAAAUGCUCCACUACAAGAUGGACCUGCGUUGUAUUAGCUAGUAGGUGAGGUAACGGCUCACCUAGGCGACGAUACAUAGCCGACCUGAGAGGGUGAUCGGCCACACUGGGACUGAGACACGGCCCAGACUCCUACGGGAGGCAGCAGUAGGGAAUCUUCGGCAAUGGGGGCAACCCUGACCGAGCAACGCCGCGUGAGUGAAGAAGGUUUUCGGAUCGUAAAGCUCUGUUGUAAGUCAAGAACGAGUGUGAGAGUGGAAAGUUCACACUGUGACGGUAGCUUACCAGAAAGGGACGGCUAACUACGUGCCAGCAGCCGCGGUAAUACGUAGGUCCCGAGCGUUGUCCGGAUUUAUUGGGCGUAAAGCGAGCGCAGGCGGUUUGAUAAGUCUGAAGUUAAAGGCUGUGGCUCAACCAUAGUUCGCUUUGGAAACUGUCAAACUUGAGUGCAGAAGGGGAGAGUGGAAUUCCAUGUGUAGCGGUGAAAUGCGUAGAUAUAUGGAGGAACACCGGUGGCGAAAGCGGCUCUCUGGUCUGUAACUGACGCUGAGGCUCGAAAGCGUGGGGAGCGAACAGGAUUAGAUACCCUGGUAGUCCACGCCGUAAACGAUGAGUGCUAGGUGUUGGAUCCUUUCCGGGAUUCAGUGCCGCAGCUAACGCAUUAAGCACUCCGCCUGGGGAGUACGACCGCAAGGUUGAAACUCAAAGGAAUUGACGGGGGCCCGCACAAGCGGUGGAGCAUGUGGUUUAAUUCGAAGCAACGCGAAGAACCUUACCAGGUCUUGACAUCCCGAUGCUAUUUCUAGAGAUAGAAAGUUACUUCGGUACAUCGGUGACAGGUGGUGCAUGGUUGUCGUCAGCUCGUGUCGUGAGAUGUUGGGUUAAGUCCCGCAACGAGCGCAACCCCUAUUGUUAGUUGCCAUCAUUCAGUUGGGCACUCUAGCGAGACUGCCGGUAAUAAACCGGAGGAAGGUGGGGAUGACGUCAAAUCAUCAUGCCCCUUAUGACCUGGGCUACACACGUGCUACAAUGGUUGGUACAACGAGUUGCGAGUCGGUGACGGCAAGCUAAUCUCUUAAAGCCAAUCUCAGUUCGGAUUGUAGGCUGCAACUCGCCUACAUGAAGUCGGAAUCGCUAGUAAUCGCGGAUCAGCACGCCGCGGUGAAUACGUUCCCGGGCCUUGUACACACCGCCCGUCACACCACGAGAGUUUGUAACACCCGAAGUCGGUGAGGUAACCUUUGGAGCCAGCCGCUAAGGUUGGAAUAAAGG
rnacentral:rRNA from 1 species